CCUUUUCCAAUCAGGUGCGUGCAGUUUUCACGGGCUCGGGCAGGUGUUCCUCUCUCCCGACCCUCUCCUCUCUGGCAAUGGCGGAGGUGACGACAUCGGCGGCAUCAGACGGACCAACCGGAGGCGAGGCCACCUCCCAUCUCUCGCGCGUGAAGUAGUCCACUUUUCGCCUCUGAUGCGGUAGCGAACCGAGGCGACAUAGGCAGUGCAACGAUCCGAUGCGAGCUGGGUGGCGACAAUGGCCUUCUCCGGUGUCGCUCUCCCUUGCCGGCUUUCUUCUCGCCGGUUGAUGGUGGAGACUGGCGCUCGGAGGUGGGAUCAAUUCAAGGAGGAGGUGGAUGUCAUGGUGUACGAGGAGAAGAAGGUUGCGGAGAAGGAACAACAGUACAGUAUCUUCUUAGAUCCAGCCAAAGGCGAUGGCCCUAUUUCUACUCUGUUAUAGAUAAACUGUCCCUUUUUUUCUUCAUUGGAGCUCCACCGUUUUCAAUGAACUAGACUGUCACAUAGUAUUGAGAAAUACCAUCUUCAGCCAUUUACUUAGAAUGGAGUUAGGAUGUUGUUACUGUAUGACAAUGGUCAUCCCAUCAUUGUAAAUAUGCUCUGUUGCAGAAGGCACAUAAAGAACUCAUAAAGGGUAAAGUUCAAGAAAAUGUGAAAAAACAAGCCUCGCAGCAAAAAAUCAUGCCCCAAAAAGAAGCACAGAACAUUCAUGCCCAAGUAAUGUAAUCUUAAUGCACAAUGUCACCGGCUUGUUGAUAGGGAGUACAAUGUUUAGUUAGUUUUUGAGUUAUUUGAGCCACUGCCAUCUAGGGCAAUCAUAUUCUGAACAAAUCGAGAUUUAAACCUAUCAAUUAGCUAAUCUUGCUAAAGAACACAAAUGUGUCUUUUCUUAAACUUGAAUCGUCCUGGUAAAAGUAUGGAUUUUCACUUUGACCUGUGGCUGUCUAUAUGUCGAAGGCUUCUGAAUUUCUCUAGGUGUACAACUGAACAAUAGUGAGACAUUGUAGGUGCAGACCUGAAUAAUAGUGAGACAUGGUAUCAACUAGCGAAAAGUGCAAGAUGCAGGAUCAGCUUUUCUUUUUCCAGUUCAUGGUACAUUUGUUGCUCUUUGUCACCUCUUUGAAAGCACUGCAUACACCUGUAGUACACUAAACGUUCUCAGGUUUGGUUCUCAUAUUUUCACAUUGAGCUUAGGCGAACGCUGGAUGGCUAAGCACCUAUUUAUUUCUAGCUUUGAUCUGUUGAUACAUGGUGAAAUGAACAGAACGAUAUAGCUGGGUGUGCUCCUAUUUUAUGUCGAUAGAAGAAAUGCAAUCUAUAUCGGAUGCAAGUUUGGAAAUGUAUUAUUUGUACAUGCUCCUAUUUUAUGUUGGCCCCACAUCUCGUAACUCGACUCUCAAAUUUCUUACAUCGGCUGGCGAAUGUGGGCUAACUCUGAACUGCUAGAUUUUUAUAUGUGGUUGGUUGGACACCUUAUGUUAUCGGACACUGACCGUCUCCCAGCCUGUCAGUAUUCACAGAAGCUGCAAAAAUUAGAGUCUGAUUUAUUUCUAUUGCCAAGAGGUGGACACUGAUCCUCAUCCAGCCAUUCAAUCUUCACUAAUAUUUUGGUUUAACCUGCUCUCAAUGCAAGAGUAAUCAUGUAUAACAGGGAAAUGUGAUUUUUCCUUCAGGUUAUUGCUUCUUUGUUUUUUGUAGCAUACACCAGAUGGGAAUGUGCUAUUUUUUAUGAGUAAAUGUGAUUCUAGCUAUACUCCAUCAAUUUAAUUUUUCCGUAGCCAUGGAUUCGUAAAGAAUUUCAGCACCAUUAUUUUUGUCUGAAAUUCCUAUAUACUGUAAGACUUUGAUUUUGUUCACAUUUAACCUAUUUUCCUAUCUUGCAGAGCCAUCCAUUCAAAUAUGGUUAAUAUCUUCUACCCUGUAUUUACUGUACCACUAGAAUAGAGACGUGCAUUUAUUUUAGUCGAUCAAUUUUUCUGCUGUAGCAAGACUUUCUGUUGUCAUCCUGGUUGUGCUCCAAUUUACUAUUUCCAUGAAUUAGUGUUAGGUACUCCGUCAGCAUGUUCACAUCAUGUGCUAGCCUGCUUUUAAAGAUAUUUAAGUUUUGAUGCUACGUAAUUCAUAUUCGUGAGAUGAUGCGUGGACAACUUGUAAUCUUUAUCUCCUUUAUUUCAUUCUUAUCCAAUUGUAUCUCGUACAGUUUGGUACAAGACAUGAUUUAGGUUGCACUGAAAUUGUAGUUACAGAACCUGCGAUUCAUACCUGUAGCUAGUGUGUUCAUGUGAUUCUCAUAAAUCUGGUACAUCCAAACUUCCCUUGUGUUUUUUUCAGUUUAAGAUAGUAAAGCCUCAGUCUAUCUUCAAGUGUGAUGUGUUCUUGUUUGUUGUUGGUCUCUACCUGUUUGUUGGUAUGCUCCUCAAAACUAAAAAUAUUCUGUUUUCUCAGGUCUAUUCAAGUGGAUGACGACAACUCUAUGAGGGUAGAGAGGAAUGAGUUUUCUGGAAUAUGUCUUCGUAUUUUAGUGUAUGGUGGGUACGGGUAUCGUUUGAUUCAAUAAUUAGUAGCAAAAUUUAGGAUUGUUGAGAAGAGAGGUGAAGCUAAAGGCUUCAGUACUAUUCUUAGGAUACCAUAUGUUGCUUCCAGGCCAUGUAUAAGAAUUUUUCAGUUACUUGAGAGAUUGUUGAACAUAUGAAAUUAAUGGAAAUUGGGCACCCUCAA